GGGCAAUUGUUUGGAGACCUUUGGGGAGUAGGGGUCCUCCUUCUUUCAGGAGGAAGAACAACACCUCAGAAGGACACUGAAAGUUACAAGAUAUAAAGAGAAUAAACUCAAAGGGGAACUACAAACAUUCAGAUUGAAGCCCACCAUUGAGAAGAGAAAAACUCAGGGAACCCAAGAGCUAUACAAUAUUUGGUGGCAUUCUGUUUUGCAUAGUUGUGAUUUCUAAAAGUGAACCUUUACAUGAUAUACCUGUCUUAAACUGUCUUUUGUUGCUUGUGAAAUACAUAUAAUACACAUUUUUGUAUUAA